GACGUAGGGGGCGAGCGUUGUCCGGAUUUAUUGGGCGUAAAGAGCUCGUAGGCGGCUCAGUAAGUCGGGUGUGAAACCUCCAGGCUCAACCUGGAGACGCCACCCGAUACUGCUGUGGCUUGAGUCCGGUAGGGGAGCGUGGAAUUCCUGGUGUAGCGGUGAAAUGCGCAGAUAUCAGGAGGAACACCAGCGGCGAAGGCGGCGCUCUGGGCCGGAACUGACGCUGAGGAGCGAAAGCGUGGGUAGCAAACAGG
rnacentral:rRNA from 1 species